rnacentral:rRNA from 1 species
UACGGGGGGGGCGAGCGUUGUUCGGAAUUACUGGGCGUAAAGGGCGCGUAGGCGGUUUCGGAAGUCAUGGGUGAAAGUCCUCGGCUCAACCGAGGGAUUGCCUGUGAAACCACGGGACUGAAGUGCUGGAGAGGGAAGCGGAAUUCCCAGUGUAGCGGUGAAAUGCGUAGAUAUUGGGAGGAACACCUGUGGCGAAGGCGGCUUCCUGGACAGACACUGACGCUGAGGCGCGAAAGCCAGGGGAGCGAACGGGAUUAGAUACCCCGGUAGUCCUGGCUGUAAACGAUGAACACUUGGUGUGGGGGGUGAAGAAAGUCCCUCUGUGCCGGAGAGAACUCAUUAAGUGUUCCGCCUGGGGAGUACGGCCGCAAGGCUGAAACUCAAAGGAAUUGACGGGGGCCCGCACAAGCGGUGGAGCAUGUGGUUUAAUUCGACGCAACGCGAAGAACCUUACCGGGGUUUGAACUGUACUUGAACGACCUAGAGAUGGGGAGGUUCCUUUCGGGGACGGGUACAGAGGUGCUGCAUGGCUGUCGUCAGCUCGUGUCGUGAGAUGUUGGGUUAAGUCCCGCAACGAGCGCAACCCUUGUCUGUAGUUGCCAUCAGGUGAAGCUGGGCACUCUACGGAGACUGUCGGCGAGAAGCCGGAGGAAGGUGGGGAUGACGUCAAGUCCUCAUGGCCUUUAUGUCCCGGGCUACACACGUGCUACAAUGGGCGGUACAGAGGGCAGCGAACCUGUGAAGGCAAGCGAAUCCCAGAAAACCGCUCUCAGUUCGGAUUGCAGUCUGCAACUCGACUGCAUGAAGUUGGAAUCGCUAGUAAUCGCGGAUCAGAACGCCGCGGUGAAUACGUUCCCGGGCCU